UGUUUAAUUAAAACANAGCAUUGCGAGGGCCGUGGCCGGUGAUGACNNCAUGUGAUUUCUGCUCAGUGCUCUGAAUGUCAAAGUGAAGAGAUUCAAUCAAGCGCGGGUAAACAGCGGGAGUAACUAUGACUCUCUUAAGGUAGCCAAAUGCCUCGUCAUCUAAUUAGUGACGCGCAUGAAUGGAUUAACGAGAUUCCUACUGUCCCUAUCUGCUUCUAGCGAAACCACAGCCGAGGGAACGGGCUCGGCGAAAUCGGCGGGGAAAGAAGACCCUGUUGAGCUUGACUCUAUUCUAAUUUUGUGAAGCAAGCUGGGAGGUGUAGCAUAGGUGGGAGACUUUGGUCGUCCGUGAAAUACCACUACUCCCAGUCUUGCUUUACUUACUGGGUGGGUGUGGAUGAGUCUUACGACUCUUUUCUGGAACCAACCUGAUUUAAUUUGGGGACCACAGCUCAGUACACAUUUAGGAGGGGAGUUUGGCUGGGGCGGUACAUCUUCUACAAGACAACGAAGGUGUCCAAAGAUAAGCUCAGUGAGAACAGAAAUCUCACGUAGCGCAAAAGGGUAAAAGCUUGUUUGAUUUUGAUUUUCAGUGCGAGUCAAAAACGCGAAAGCGUGGCCUAUCGAUCCUUUCACGAUUCGAGAUUUGAAGCGAGAGGUGUCAGAAAAGUUACCACAG
rnacentral:rRNA from 1 species